ensembl:lncRNA
UUUUUAAAAAAAAAAUCCAUAUUCAAAAUGUUAUAAAUACUUUUUUCUCACUUUUGCUGAUUUUCAUACAUGCAAGCUGUUCUGGGCGGAUGACAUAGUACGUAUGUUACCUGAUCCUAUUAUAACAGCAACAACAACAACCACAACAUCUACUGCCAAUCCUAAUACAACAGCAUCACCAGCAACCACAACAUCUACUGUCAAUCCUAAUACAACAGCAUCACUAGCAACCACAACAUCUACUGCCAAUCCUAUUACAACACAACAACAACAACCACCACCACAACAUCUAAUGUCAAUCCGAAUACAACAGCAUCAACAGCAACCACAACAUCUACUGUCAAUCCUAAUACAACAGCAUCAACAGCAACCACAACAUCUACUGUCAAUCCUAUUACAAUAGCAACAACAACCACAACAUCUACUGUCAAUCCUAAUACAACAGCAUCAACAGCAACCACAACAUCUACUGCCAAUCCUAUUACAACAACAGCAACAGCAACAACAACAACCACAACAUCUAUUGUCAAUCCUAAUACAACAGCAUCACCAGCAACCACAACAUCUACUGCCAAUCUUAAUACAACAGCAUCAACAGCAACCACAACAUCUACUGUCAAUCCUAAUACAACAGCAUCACCAACAACCACAACAUCUACUGCCAAUCCUAAUACAACAGCAUCAACAACAACCACAACAUCUAUUGUCAAUCCUAUUACAACAGCAACAACAACAACCACAGCAUCUACUGCCAAUCCUAAUACAACAGUAUCAUCAACAACAGCAACCACAACAUCUACUGCCAAGCCUAAUACAACAGCAUCAACAGCAACCACAACAUCUACUGUCAAUCCUAAUACAACAGCACCAACAGCAACCACAACAACAACCACAACAUCUACUGCCAAACCUAAUACAACUGUAACAACAACACCCACAACCACAACAACAACAACAACAACAACAAAAACAACAACAACAACAACAACAUCUACUGCCAAUCCUAAAACAACAGCAACAACAACCACAAUAACAACAGCAGCAACCACAACAGCAGCACCAGCACGUCCUCAGCCAACUGUUGCCAUACAGAUUGUCAUUAUAGAGGUGUUUGUUCCAGCACUGAAAGACCCUCAAACUCCGGAAUUUAAAAGCCUAGCCACAAAAGUAGAGACUAUGUUUGAUGAAGUCUAUAAGAAAAAGUUUGGACCUCGUUUCAUCAGGACCAUCGUGAUUGCUUUCAUAGCUGUUGCCAGGACCCGGGCAGACUCAAACGUACAGGCGGAGGUUAAGUUAGUGUUUAGUGAAGUGUCCACUGAACCAAUCCCCAGCAACACCGACAUUGUGGAGACUCUAAAAGAAGCAGCUGCUAAUUCAACUGGAGGCUUCAACCUCACCCUUGAUGCCACCUCUAUUACUGUCAUUAAAUCAGUGCAGAUAAUUCCGCUGACCAUCCUCACCAAUGGAACCUUUGUGGCUGCUCUUUCAAAUAAAAGUUCUACUGAAUUUCAGAACAGGGCUUCGAUGAUAAAAACAGGGCUCGAACCUUUUUUCCUGACUGAUUACCCUGCAUCAUUCAGCACCAUAUCCGUAACAAACUUCAGUGAUGCCAGUGUAAAAUUAAAGAGUGUGCCCAAGAUCCAAAACAGCAUGGAUGUAGUAUUUGGAGCGGACGCUGCUCUACCCAAUAGCACCCAGAUAGUGAACACUGUAGUUCGAGCAGCCAGAAACAACACAUUACCCUUCCAGAUCUUCACUUCUUCAAUUAUAAUAAAUGGAACAGAAUAUUCAUCAGGUGAAGUCAGCAGCAGGAUCAGUGUGUUGACCACUUCGUUCCUGGUUAUGGUGUCACUUCUGGUUCCAUGGUUUAACUGACCUUAACCACUCAUGACAAGAUAACUGAUUCAGCCACUCUGAAUCUUGCCUUUUAUGUCUGUUCAAAUGAAGGACUCAACUUAAGGAUGAAUGUAGCUAGUGAUGCUAUUUAAUGAGUAGGAAUGAAAGUAAAAAUGUAAAUAAUCCUAUUCUCAGCACUUUAAACUAGAUCAAAGCAAUAAUGGAUUCCAAAUCAGUUCUGGAUCUGUAUGUAAACAAUCAGUAUUGUAUAAAGCACUAUAUAAAUAAAGGCAAAUAUAAAUGUAUAUAAAUGUACCUGCAUGUUUUCAUAGAUUUACUUCAGAACCCAUCAUUGUGCACCAUAGACAGAAAAAUAACUACUGUGCAUAUUUAAAAUAAACCCUAUUGACACUCAGACUUCCAGUUUUGCCACCUCCGAAAUGACCAUGUUGUGAAGCAGGUAUUUGAUGGCAGACUCAAAAUGUAAAGGCUGAACCAAUAAAAAUAUGUUGGCUAAAAUACUAGCGCAGAUGAAGGCC